CCUACGUGUGGCAGCAGUGAGGAAUAUUGGUCAAUGGACGCGAGUCUGAACCAGCCAAGUAGCGUGAAGGAUGACUGCCCUAUGGGUUGUAAACUUCUUUUAUAUGGGAAUAAAAUGUUCCACGUGUGGGUUUUUGUAUGUACCAUAUGAAUAAGGAUCGGCUAACUCCGUGCCAGCAGCCUCGGUAAUACGGAGGAUCCGAGCGUUAUCCGGAUUUAUUGGGUUUAAAGGGAGCGUAGGUGGAUUGUUAAGUCAGUUGUGAAAGUUUGCGGCUCAACCGUAAAAUUGCAGUUGAGACUGGCAGUCUUGAGUACAGUAGAGGUGGGCGGAAUGCGUGGUGUAGCGGUGAAAUGCGUAGAUAUCACGAAGAACUCCGAUUGCGAAGGCAGUUCACUGGACUGCAACUGACACUGAGGCUCGAAAGUGUGGGUAUCAAACAGGAUUAGAUACCCCAGUAGUC
rnacentral:rRNA from 1 species